GCUGUCACAUACACUGUUUCUGUAAGGAUCUACUCCGGCGCGAUCUGCUUCAGCGACAACUCUCUCCACCAAGGAUCUCCUCAGCCGCGUUCUCCUCCGACUAGAAUCUCCUCACCGUUCACCGCCAUCGUUCAUCUCCUCGCCGCUGCCUUCAAUGAGCUUCUACGAUCUUGUUCUGGCUUCGAUCUAAAGGUUAGCCAUCGCCACUCAUCUCCUUUACUGCUUCGUUUAUCACCUCGCCGCCGCAAGCAACAUUGUUGCUGCUUUAGCGAGUUUCGACAAAUCUCUUCACUUUUGUGAUUACGUCCUUGCUCUCACCGUCGAGAACUUCCUCGAGCGCCACCUCCAGACUCUCGUCUUCAAUCCCAGCAUGGCCAAGUCAAUCCACCACGCCAGGUUCUGAUCCGCCAGCGCCACAUUAGAACUUGCUAAAAAAGUUCCACAAGGAUCAUCCAAAAGUCAGAACUCAGAUUAGCAUUGCUGUGGCUGCAUUGGCUGUGCAUGUGCCUGCUGAAGAUUGGGGAGAUGGUGGUAUAGUGAAAUGGCUUAGGGACGAGAUGGAUUCUCAUCCGGAAUAUAUACCAGGAUUCUUGGAGUUACUAACAGUUUUGCCAGAGGUCAUAGUAUGAUAUGUGUGAUUAUGUGUCAUCUCUUCAUUUUAUUAAUGAGACAAAUGCCUAAAGUUUGAGUUACUAAGUGACAAGUUGUUAUAAUUUUCAAAGUUGCUGCCUUGUCGGAUAGUAUUUUUUUCUUGGUUAUCAUUCAGGUUCUUGAAGCGUUUGCUUUGUGGCUUCGCCUAAAGCAUGGGUACUAAUUUUUGUCUACCUCUUUGCAUAUUGGAGUGUUCGGCUAAGUUGUUUUUAUUGAAUGUAUUAAUAUAUUAUUCUGAUCAAGAUUAAUUAUUCAAGAACUGUUUUGUAUAAAUGAAUCAUCUGAAUUGUGUAGCAUAUUGGAGGAAGCUUGUCAGAUGAGUGCGCUUUACUGUCAAGCAUUUAGUUAAUUUUUUUUGGGCGAUCUAUAGUGUUCUCAACUAUAUGUAUAUAUUUGGGUUUUUUAAAAUCACAAAUAUAUAAUUGACAGUUGGCUUUUAAACAAAAGAAUGUUGAAUGGAAUGAGUAUCUUAACUUAUAGGAAACAGACUUGUCAAGUGAAACUGAUGGAAAGCAUAGAUGCAUUCCACAAAUGCUGUAUAAUUUCAGGAAGGGUUUAUAAAGUUAAUGAAGAAUAUGGGGGAGAUAUGUAUUUAAUUUGAAUAUUACAACUUUAUUAUCUUGGUUUAUGUGUUUCUUUUUCCAUUGGCUUUACUAUUUCUCUUUAAAUUUUUAUUCGUUUCAGGAUUCUCAGAUCUGUUCUCAGUACCCAUCAAUUAGUUCUUACAGCAUUAUCAAGCUUGAAUUCUGAGUUUCUUUCUGAGGCAUCUGUAAAUGGUAUGUAUGAUAGCAUGGAAAAAUACUAAUAAUUUUCUAUUUUUCGUAAAUAUUCAUAUGCUUUUUGUUG